UACGUAGGGGGCGAGCGUUACCCGGAUUUACUGGGCGUAAAGCGCGUGUAGGCGGCUGGUCAAGCGUGGUGUGAAAUCUCCGGGCUCAACCCGGAAACUGCAUUGCGAACUGACCUAGCUGGAGUGCAGGAGAGGGCAGCGGAAUUCCCGGUGUAGCGGUGAAAUGCGCAGAUAUCAGGAGGAACACCGGUGGCGAAGGCGGGUCUCUGGGCCGAUACUGACGCUGGAGGAGCGAAAGCGUGGGAGCGAACAGG
rnacentral:rRNA from 1 species